rnacentral:rRNA from 1 species
AUUGAACGCUGGCGACAUGCCUUACACAUGCAAGUCGAACGGCAGCACGGGUGCUUGCACCUGGUGGCGAGUGGCGCACGGGUGAGUAAUACAUCGGAACAUGUCCUGUAGUGGGGGAUAGCCCGGCGAAAGCCGGAUUAAUACCGCAUACGAUCUACUGAUGAAAGCGGGGGACCUUCGGGCCUCGCGCUAUAGGGUUGGCCGAUGGCUGAUUAGCUAGUUGGUGGGGUAAAGGCCUACCAAGGCGACGAUCAGUAGCUGGUCUGAGAGGACGACCAGUCACACUGGGACUGAGACACGGCCCAGACUCCUACGGGAGGCAGCAGUGGGGAAUUUUGGACAAUGGGCGAAAGCCUGAUCCAGCAAUGCCGCGUGUGUGAAGAAGGCCUUCGGGUUGUAAAGCACUUUUGUCCGGAAAGAAAUCCUUGGCCCUAAUACGGUCGGGGGAUGACGGUACCGGAAGAAUAAGCACCGGCUAACUACGUG